rnacentral:rRNA from 1 species
AUCAAAAGCACUUUGAAAAGAGGGUGAAAAGAACCUGAAACCGUCACGGGGGAAGCGGAUUGCGUUGGAUUGAUGGGUGCUUGUGUGUUCAGCCCUUCGGGUGCAUUGAUACGAGUACUUAUCCACUGUGGGUUUUCGGAAACCGAUUUUGGGUUUUUGAAGGCUGAGGGCUCCCUUCGGGUGAGGACAGUGGAGUGACGACGCGAUACGACCCGUCUUGAAACACGGACCAAGGAGUCUAGCGCAGCUGCGAGUCAAAGGGUGCAAGCCCGUGGGCGUAGUGAAAGCAAAAGUAUGGAAAAUAAACAGUUUGGGGCGGCAUAAGAUCCUCGAUCUUAAGACCGACCCGGAGCAGUUGCGCUGGGACCCGAAAGAUGGUGAACUAUUUCUGAGUAGGGCAAAGCCAGAGGAAACUCUGGUGGAGGCUCGUAGCGGUGCUGACGUGCAAAUCGCUCGUCAAACUUGGAUAUAGGGGCGAAAGACUAAUCGAACCAUCUAGUAGCUGGUUCCCUCCGAAGUUUCUCUCAGGAUAGCGGGCCGACAAUCAGUUGUUCUGUGC